AAUCAACGCUGGCGGCGUGCCUCAGACAUGCAAGUCGAACGAGAAAGUUUCCUUCGGGAGACGAGUACAGUGGCGUCCGGGUGAGUAACACGUGGGUAAUUUACCUUUGGGUGGGAAUAGCAGCCGGAAACGGCUAUUAAUACCGCAUAAUGCAGCGGCUCGACAUCGAGACAGUUGUUAAAGCGGGGAUCUGACAAGGACCUCGCGCCUAAAGAGAAGCCUGCGUCAGAUUAGCUAGUUGGUAGGGUAAU
rnacentral:rRNA from 1 species